rnacentral:rRNA from 1 species
GACGAACGCUGGCGGCGUGCUUAACACAUGCAAGUCGAACGGUGAAGCGCCUUCCUUUUUGGUGGGUGUGGAAGAGUGGCGAACGGGUGAGUAACACGUGAGUAACCUGCCCCCUUCUUCUGGAUAACCGCAUGAAAGUGUGGCUAAUACGGGAUAUUCUGGGUUUGUCGCAUGAUGGGUCUGGGAUAGCUAUUGUUUCGGUGGGGGAUGGGCUAGCGGCCUAUCAGCUUGUUGGUGGGGUGAUGGCCUACCAAGGCGGUGACGUGUAGCCGGCUUGAGAGGGUGGACGAUCUCAUUGGGACUGUGACACGGCACUUACGUCUGCGCGAUGCAGCAGUGAGGAAUAGUGCAGACUGGGCGCGAGGCUGAUGCAGCGACGCCGCGUGGGGGAUGGAGGCCUUCGGGUUGUGAACCUCUUUCGCGAUAGAAGCAAGCCUGCCUCGUGUGUGGAGGGGUUGACGGUAGAUGGAGAAGAAGCGCCGGCUAACUACGUG